UGGCAUACUAGGGGAGGACCGGGAGGCCGGGGCUGUGGUUUGUGAUCGGAGGAAAGGAACUGCACUUCCUGCCGAUGCGGUGCAAUGGUGCGGAGAAACUGGUCAGUCUUCAGAGGCCUCGACGAAACACCCCCAGGUCCAGGAGCCCUCAGCGUGCCGUUGGCACCUCCAGGUCCAGGAGCCCUCAGCGUGCCAUUGGCAUUGAGGCGGGUGAAUGGUUGCAGGGCUGAAAUCGACGUGUUUGGAGAGGCUGAAAGCUUGUGAGCUCCAUUCUGCUCCUGGUCAGACUGCGACGGUGAAGAAUGUUGGGAAAGAGACA
rnacentral:lncRNA from 1 species